UGUGUGUGUGUGUGUGUGUGUGUGUGUGCCAGUGCAUACCAUCGACAUUUUGUCCUUUAUAGUAUGGUCUUUUCACCAGAAUUAUAGAUUUAACAAAAUGGUAGAAAAUUCAAAUAUGAAGAAUUCAUUUUCCUUGGGCUUUGCGGGUAUGGCGAUGUGUUUUUACUGUAGCAAUGAGGACACCGUCGUCGUCGUCGUUGCUGUCUCUCGACGCCCUGGCUUCAGAGUUAGAUAAUCUAGAUCUUCAGCAAUUGAAGGACGGAAUGAGUCAAGGGGGCACGAGAAGAAGAAUCAUCACACGGAAAGGGUACAGCCACGCCGAUAACCACAAGGUCGUCAUGUCCUCUCCUUGGAGUCAAAAAUACUUUUCUCAUUCUGUGCCAAUAUUUUCUCCUCCCCACCCCCCUGGAGAGGACGAGGAUAAACAUGGACGCUCAAAUACACUACCUCUAUGGACACGUUGUGCCCGUAUAAACAGAUGCAAGAAGCAGGGAGAGGAGGAAGAGGAGGAGGACAUGGGAAACAACUCCCUGGACGCUCCCGCCUUGGUUUACAGUGCUUUCGAGAUGGUGACAGUGAUGGUGAUGGGCACAUUCUGGAAGCUACGGGAAAUGACGAUCUAUCACAGGUACUUACUGUGUCUCGACUAGUUCUCCAAGAUGGGAAAAUUCAUGAGAGCGCGUAAUUUCUGUUUGGGCGGCAGUGUUGUGUGGGAACUAGUCUCAUCGAGAUAAUUCGUGAUGUGGACGAUUCUGAAAUCCACUCACUCAUCCACCUUUUCUGUUCCCCAGCCCACGUUAUGACAGAAAGAUGUUCCAUUCCAUUUUUUUUUUUAUGUGUUUAAUGGCGGCGGGUUGGGGGGGAUUUCCUUCUUUUACAUUUUUCUCGCAAAUGUCCAGUUCGAAGUUGUUGCGGCUAAAACCAUCGCCUUUGUCAGGGAAAAUAAUGGAAGGUUGGGAAAAUUGCAUGAAAUAUAGAUGAAUGUACAUUUACUUGGGUGUAUUUAUAUAGUAUAACAAUCACACCUGAAACUCAUCUAUCUCCUCUAUCAUCCUCCCCAACGUAAAUAUAUUACAAGUUUUCCAAUUAACAUAUCCAUCAUUAUCAUCAUCAUCAUCAUCAUCAUCAUCAUCAUCAUAGUCUUCACCGUCACUAGCAUCACUAUCAUCACUGCUAACUAGGGGUCGAGUAAGAAUGGCUUCAGUGAUACGACCGCUGCUAAAAUACACACGGGAGGAGUGGGCAUGUGCCUCGAUGGACACCCUCAGCGAGCUUGUGUGGGCACUUGGCAAAGCACGAUGUCUUCUGAGUAAUCCAUCAACAUCCUCCUCCCCCCCCCCCCCCCCCUCUUCAUCCUCGGUGGUAGAUAUGUCUCCUGGUCGGCAACAAGAAAUUCUCUGUGCUAAUUCUACGCCGACACAUUUCAUGUCAGUGCGUUUCGGGAAAAUCUCACUCCCCCCCCCUCGCCUCCACCCCACGUACAUUCUUAUUUCCCCUCCAAGGCAUUAUGCGCGGAACUGGCUCUAAGGAACUUAGACGCGGCUUCGACGCGCGAAUUAGCCAUGAUUUCU
rnacentral:rRNA from 1 species